rnacentral:rRNA from 1 species
GGACUACCCGGGUAUCUAAUCCCGUUGGCUCCCCUAGCUUUCGCCCCUCAGCGUCAGUUGCUCCCCAGGACACUGCCUUCGCCUUUGGUGUUCCUCCGGAUCUCUACGCAUUUCACCACUCCACCCGGAAUUCCGUGUCCCUCUGAAGCCCUCAAGUCUUCCCGUCUUCGCAGGCCUUGCUCAGUUAAGCCGAGCACUGUCACUGCAAACGCGAAAGACCGCCUACAGGCCCUUUACGCCCAGUAACUCCGGACAACGCUCGCCCCCUACGUAUUACCGCGGCGGCUGGCAC